rnacentral:rRNA from 1 species
UAAAACGUAGGUGGCAAGCGUUAUCCGGAUUUACUGGGCGUAAAGGGUGUGCAGGCGGGUUAGCAAGUGGUGUAUGAAAUCUCCCAGCUUAACUGGGAGCGGUUAUGCCAGACUGCCAACCUAGAGGACGAGAGAGGGGGGUGGAAUUCCGGGUGUAGUGGUGAAAUGCGUAGAGAUCCGGAGGAACCCCAGAGGCGAAGGCGGCCCCCUGGCUCGUAUCUGACGCUCAGCCACGAAAGCAUGGGGAGCGAACGGGAUUAGAAACCCCGGUAGUCCAUGCCGUAAACGAUGCAAACUAGGCGCUGACGGUCUCAACCCCGCCGGUGCCGCAGCUAACGCGAUAAGUUUGCCGCCUGGGGAGUACGGUCGCAAGGCU